rfam:Fulvivirga imtechensis AK7 contig63, whole genome shotgun sequence.
GGUGGAACCGACCCACCAGAGCCUGCUUACAGGAGCCGGCUCUAAACAACUGUUUUGAUGCGUCAAAGGUAACUUUGGGGUGUGAAGCGAAAA